UGGGGUAUAUUGGACAAUGGGCGAAAGCCUGAUCCAGCCAUGCCGCGUGAGUGAUGAAGGCCUUAGGGUUGUAAAGCUCUUUUAGCAGGGAAGAUAAUGACGGUACCUGCAGAAAAAGCCCCGGCUAACUUCGUGCCAGCAGCCGCGGUAAUACGAAGGGGGCUAGCGUUGCUCGGAAUUACUGGGCGUAAAGCGCACGUAGGCGGACUCUUAAGUCGGUGGUGAAAUCCUGGAGCUCAACUCCAGAACUGCCUUCGAUACUGGGAGUCUUGAGUUCGGGAGAGGUGAAUGGAACUGCGAGUGUAGAGGUGAAAUUCGUAGAUAUUCGCAAGAACACCAGUGGCGAAGGCGGCUCACUGGGCCGAUACUGACGCUGAGGUGCGAAAGCGUGGGGAGCAAACA
rnacentral:rRNA from 1 species